AAAGGUAAUACUUCUAGGAACCUUUAUCCCUUGGCGGCCUUUUUUCUUCUCAGAGGAAUUCGUCUAUUAAUCGAAAUUACUCGCUUACUUUCCCUUUCUUUCAAUCAUUUAUACCGCCGUCUAAAUAAUACACUAAAAAUUCUAUUUGCAAUAACAUUUCCUAAGUCAGGUCAAGGUGAAGAAAUAAGAAAGAUUAGAUAAAUUACCUAUUAACAUCAUUAAUGAAUUUUCAUCCAAAGUUGCAAAUGAAAUAGGAUUUGAAAGUAGGAUGGACAAAAAAUAAAAAUUCCACCCGAACCAGCGUUUAGGUGUACACAUCGCCCGUCGCUCUUA
rnacentral:rRNA from 1 species